UGCAAGUCGAACGGAAAGGCCCUGCUUGCAGGGUACUCGAGUGGCGAACGGGUGAGUAACACGUGGGUGAUCUGCCCUGCACUUCGGGAUAAGCCUGGGAGACUGGGUCUAAUACCGGAUAGGAGCCAUUUUUAGUGUGAUGGUUGGAAAGUUUUUUCGGUGUAGGAUGAGCUCGCGGCCUAUCAGCUUGUUGGUGGGGUAAUGGCCUACCAAGGCGGCGACGGGUAGCCGGCCUGAGAGGGUGGACGGCCACAUUGGGACUGAGAUACGGCCCAGACUCCUACGGGAGGCAGCAGUGGGGAAUAUUGCACAAUGGGCGCAAGCCUGAUGCAGCGACGCCGCGUGGGGGAUGACGGCCUUCGGGUUGUAAACUCCCUUCGCUAGGGACGAAGCUUUUUGUGACGGUACCUAGAUAAGAAGCACCGGCUAACUACGUGCCAGCAGCCGCGGUAAUACGUAGGGUGCGAGCGUUGUCCGGAAUUACUGGGCGUAAAGGGCUCGUAGGUGGUUUGUCGCGUCGUCUGUGAAAUUCCGGGGCUUAACUCCGGGCGUGCAGGCGAUACGGGCAUAACUUGAGUACUGUAGGGGUAACUGGAAUUCCUGGUGUAGCGGUGAAAUGCGCAGAUAUCAGGAGGACACCGAUGGCGAAGGCAGGUUACUGGGCAGUUACUGACGCUGAGGAGCGAAA
rnacentral:rRNA from 1 species